GACAGAGGGUGCAACCGUUGUUCGGAAUUACUGGGCGUAAAGCGCGUGUAGGCGGCUCUGUAAGUCGGGUGUGAAAUCCCACGGCUCAACCGUGGAAGUGCACUCGAAACUACAGGGCUAGAGUCCUGGAGAGGAAGGUGGAAUGCUUGGUGUAGAGGUGAAAUUCGUAGAUAUCAAGCAGAACACCUGCGGCGAAGGCGGCCUUCUGGACGGUGACUGACGCUGAGACGCGAAAGCGUGGGGAGCAAACAGG
rnacentral:rRNA from 1 species